UCCUACGGGCGCAGCAGUGAGGAAUAUUGGUCAAUGGGCGCGAGCCUGAACCAGCCAAGUCGCGUGAGGGAUGACGGUCCUACGGAUUGUAAACCUCUUUUGCCGGGGAGCAAGCGUGCGUUCGUGAACGCACGUCGAGAGUACCCGGAGAAAAAGCAUCGGCUAACUCCGUGCCAGCAGCCGCGGUAAUACGGAGGAUGCGAGCGUUAUCCGGAUUUAUUGGGUUUAAAGGGUGCGUAGGCGGUUUGAUAAGUUAGAGGUGAAAUGUCGGGGCUCAACCCCGAAACUGCCUCUAAUACUGUUGG
rnacentral:rRNA from 1 species